ensembl:miRNA
CAGACGUGUCGUCCCCAGAUACAAUGGACAGUAUGCGAUUAUAAUUGUGUGGCAUUGUCCUAACUGUUUGGAGAUCAUACUGCUGAC